rnacentral:rRNA from 1 species
AGGACGAACGCUGGCGGCGUGCUUAACACAUGCAAGUCGAGCGGUAAGGCCUUUCGGGGUACACGAGCGGCGAACGGGUGAGUAACACGUGGGUGAUCUGCCCUGCACUUCGGGAUAAGCCUGGGAAACUGGGUCUAAUACCGGAUAUGACCUCCUAUCGCAUGGUGGGUGGUGGAAAGAUUUAUCGGUGCAGGAUGGGCCCGCGGCCUAUCAGCUUGUUGGUGGGGUAAUGGCCUACCAAGGCGACGACGGGUAGCCGACCUGGGAGGGUGACCGGCCACACUGGGACUGAGACACGGCCCAGACUCCUACGGGAGGCAGCAGUGGGGAAUAUUGCACAAUGGGCGAAAGCCUGAUGCAGCGACGCCGCGUGAGGGAUGACGGCCUUGGGUUGUAAACCUCUUUCAGCAGGACGAAGCGCAAGUGACGGUACUGCAGAAGAAGCACCGGCUAACGUACGUGCCAGCAGCCGC